rnacentral:lncRNA from 10 species
AAGUGACAUAAACUGGCAUGUUCUGAAAGAAUCACUCUGGAUGCUGUGUGGAGAAAACACUGAAAAGGAAUUUGUUAUCUCGAUUAUGGAGGGCGACAAGUCCCACAGUCUGCCAUCUGCAGGAUGGAGAACCAGUCUUUAUAGGGGGAGAAUAAUUGACUCCAUUCAAGUGUUCGCUCCUGUUUCAAUCAACUAUGGCUGAAGAGUGAGGAGACAUUUGGAAUAAAUAUGGCUUCUGGGGGCCCAUUCCUAUGGAUCAGCAGCUGGCUUCUGGAGGCCCAUUCCUGUGAAUCGUCGAUCUCAUAGAAGAUAAUAUUGUUAGAAGGCUUACCUCAUUGAUGCUGAACAUCCUAAAAAGCUUCUGCUGCUUUGAGUCACUGAAAAAGACCAAGAAACAUGAAUUUAAAAAAAAAUUUCAAAUGUUAUAAAAUAAAUAAUAUGAACUCAUUAUACCUACAA